GGUGUUCAUAGCUCAGUUGGUGGAGCACUGCACCGCUGACGCAGAGGCCAUGGGUUCGAAUCCCGUUGAAGCCC
rnacentral:tRNA from 1 species